rfam:Planctomycetes bacterium RBG_16_59_8 RBG_16_scaffold_69371, whole genome shotgun sequence.
GGGGGCGUAGCUCAGCUGGAAGAGCGUGUGAAUGGCAUUCACAAGGCCGAGGGUUCGAUCCCCUUCGCCUCCA